UUGGCAAAUGGGCCGAUGAAACUCCACUACGCUUGAGAACUCGAAAAAUGUCGGUUUGAUGCUUUGGUUACUAUCUCUGUAAUGUGUAAAAAUUCCACUUCAGACUAUUCUGGAUUGUUAAACUUUAUACUUUGUGGGAUUCUAUUCUUUCAAGACUAAUAUUUUCAACAACUACUUAGGUGGAUGGAGGCUGCUCUUUGUCUCGUCGAAAGGACGAGACUUAUACAUGCACUUUACACUGCAGCUGGUAAGAAUUUGGGAAGGCUUGAAAUAUCAGUGGUUUUGGGUGAGUGGUAAAAUAUCACUUGCUACACUUGCAUACCGUAUUGCAAAGACUUAUAUAGCGAAUUUUUGUUUUGAACAGUUGUCAUGAAUGAACAAGUUAAUUCGUCAAUAAAUUACGUCUAUCAUUGCCGCAUUAUAUGUAAUUUAAGAUAAGACUGCAAGGUGAAGCGAACAGGCAAAGUAAAUUCAGGCAUCAAAGUGAAGAAGUAAAUUAAGCGAUCGUUUUUAGUCAGUUCGAGCCAUAGGAGAUCCACCACUCUUCAGAUAUAUUCUCUAAACAAAUGGAUUUCCGUCUGAAAAUUUGUUUGUUGCUGAUACUUUUCGUGGCAUUUUCGGAUGUUGAUGGAGAUAAUUGUUUUUCCGUUAAUGGUGUGUGUGUACAUCCACGUCUGCCUUGUCCUAUUGACCACUACGUAUGUUCUAGAUAUCGUUGUCCAGGCUUGGAAGAUUG